UACGAAGGGGGCUAGCGUUGUUCGGAAUCACUGGGCGUAAAGCGCACGUAGGCGGAUUGUUAAGUCGGGGGUGAAAUCCUGAGUCUCAACCUCAGAGCUGCCUUCGAUACUGGCAAUCUCGAGUCCGGAAGAGGUUGGUGGAACAGCUAGUGUAGAGGUGAAAUUCGUAGAUAUUAGCUAGAACACCAGUGGCGAAGGCGGCCAACUGGUCCGGUACUGACGCUGAGGUGCGAAAGCGUGGGGAGCAAACAGG
rnacentral:rRNA from 1 species